rnacentral:hammerhead_ribozyme from 1 species
AUCCAGCUGACGAGUCCCAAAUAGGACGGAAAGCAUGUCCUGGAU